rnacentral:misc_RNA from 1 species
GAUGAAGAACGUAGCGAAAUGCGAUACGUAAUGUGAAUUGCAGAAUUCAGUGAAUCAUCGAAUCUUUGAACGCAUAUUGCGCUCUCUGGUAUUCCGGAGAGCAUGCUUGUUUGAGUAUCAGUAAACACCUCAACUUCCAUAUCUUUUUUGAAAUGGGAGUUGGACUUGAGUGAUCCCAACGCUUUUCCUCACCGAAAAGUGGCGGGUUACUUGAAAUGCAGGUGCAGCUGGACUUUUCUCUGAGCUAUAAGCAUAUCUAUUUAGUCUGCCUAAAAACAGAUUAUUACCUUUGCUGCAGCUAACAUAAAGGAGAUUAGUUCUUGUGCUGACUGAUGCAGGAUUCACAAAGACAGGCUUCGGCCGACUUUGUAAACUCGAUCUCAAAUCAAGUAAGACUACCCGCUGAACUUAAGCAUAUCAAUAAGCGAGGA